rnacentral:rRNA from 1 species
UACGGGGGGUGCGAGCGUUGUCCGGAAUCACUGGGCGUAAAGGGCGCGUAGGUGACGUCGUAAGUUUGUGGUGAAAGCCCGGAGCUCAACUCCGGGUCUGCCGCGAAUACUGCGAGGCUUGAGUACUGUAGAGGGGGGUAGAAUAUCGGGUGUAGCGGUGGAAUGCGUAGAGAUCCGAUAGAAGACCGGUGGCGAAGGCGGCCCCCUGGGCAGUAACUGACACUCGAGGCGCGACAGCGUGGGGAGCAAACAGG